GGGAGGCAUUACUUUCAACGAAUGUUAUAUUGAGGACUCUAUAGACUUCAGUUUUGGAAAUGGCCGCUCCAUGUUCAAAGACUGCGAGCUGCAUUCGAUAGCUACCUGAUUAGAAUCCAUUGCCGCCCAGGAUAGAAAUUUCGCCAGAUGGGAAAACAGGCUUUGCUUUUGUUCGCUGUAGGUUUACGGGUACUGGCCCACUACAUGCAGGCCAUGCUAUGGGCCACCACUCGGAUAGUCCACUCCUACACUUUCUUUGAUGACUUGGCUGCACAAGGUGGCUGGGAUGAUUGGG
rnacentral:misc_RNA from 1 species